rnacentral:lncRNA from 1 species
CUGAUAGUAAAUGAUUUCCCCCUACCCCUCUGCAGAUAGAGGAAGAUUUUGAAGGGCAGCAAGUAUUUGCAGUCAGAAGAAAAUUUCAGGAUGGUUUGAGGCAGCAGCUGCACUUGUGAUCAGACAGCAAAUCGAUACAGCUGGUACAAAGAAUGGAGAAACUGGACAAAAAGAGGAGCUACUGAGGACAGAUGUUCAAGAAAAUGUAGACAAGCUUUGAAAUACUUGAACAGGAAGAUUUUCCCUGUCUCCAGUGCUCUGCAGAACUUCACAGCCAAUUUGAGAAGGCAGUCCUGGGUCAGCAGGGAAGGCUAAUGACUUCCAUAAGAAAAAAAAGGUAUGAUCUUCUGAUUUGGAUUACUGCUGCUAGAUUAUCUUGGCCAGUUUUUCUCCAAAGAAAGCAGCACAGGUAGGUGGGCCCAACUCUAUA